CCAUCCCCAAACAACGAUCUUAUUUGUAGCGUAUGGGCGAUGUACAGACGAGAAAAAUUAGUUUCAAUGCUGAAUUUUUGUUAAUAUGUGAGCUAUUCAUCUAUCACAGUGGUUACAACUUUCCCCCCCAAGCAGGGUACAUGUACGAUUUCAUUACCUUUUUACAAGUAAAUGAGCGGGGCCCAGCGUGGCAACCCAUGGUGUUUAGCGAAAUUUUGAUCAUAAAUUCAAUGAGGGGAAUUCUCCACUGGCUGAAAAAAGGAUGAAUUUCAAGCACCAACGAUUGAAAUAACAUGUGUGUACGGCACCAUAGAUCAUCACCUUCCACUGUGUCGUCCCUGGUCCUUCGUGUAGCCAUGUGGAGAGGAUAGAUUUCAUACACUCCAAAGGCCUUUCCAUAAAGAAUAGAGGUAGAGUGAGCGAGAUAGAGAGAUAGAGUGAUAUAGAGACAGAGAGAGAGAGAGAGAGAGAUGGAGAUGGAGCAAAAAAUAAAGAACAAAAGUAAAAAGAGAGAGCGCGCGCGAGAGAGAGAGGGAAAUAAAGAGAUCACUCGAUCGACUAGUUGCCUCUCACAUAUACUGCUUCCAGAUCCUAUCCGUUGUAUAGAGCAAAGCAAGAACAGAUGAAUGAACAAAAAAAGGAACCACAUGCGGUUAAGGCCAGCACACAUACACAGACACACUGAGACUGUUUGAAUUGAUCGCUCCUUUGUGGGUGUGUAACCUGUCAGGGUAUAGGCAGGUAAGGACCGAAGAGCGAACAGUCUGUUCGUUUUAAAGUUAUGAAUGAAAACCCACACACCUUCCCAGAGCUGCGCUAGCAGUAUUCAUUCUGCUACGCGUGUGCUAGUGGAGCAGCGGCGAAAAGGGCGUUUGCUGAGGCAGCAAGGUGGUGCGUAAACGGUCUGACCGCGCGUCAGCAAGAUAGACUAAAGUGGGGGUUCCAUCGUCCCACUCAAGAUGACAUAAAGUCGCAUUGAGUUUAGCCAAGACGGUGUAGCAGCCGUUGCAAAGAAAAUAGUGUAAACAAUUAUCAGGCAGGUAUGAUAAUUGACGGGAUGGGCUAAUAUUGUUGUUAAAUGAUAUGCUAAUACAAUAUUGUUUACUAAACUAGCAGCGUUGAUUCGAUUGCCAAAGUAUUUAUUUAAAAUUUAUAAGUAUAAAAUAAAGCCCAAAAGUUAAUGAAAAACGAAAAGCAUUAUAAUUAGGUCUUUUCAAGAACAAUUAUUAAAAUUUUCAAGAACAUUAAAUUAUGAUGUACAAGUACGAGCAUAUAAGUAAAACUAAUAUAUUUAAUUAUUCUUCUAUGUAGCGUAAUGUCCAAGCCGACUUGUAUAUUUCAGCUUAAUUUCGCAUUUCAACUCUCAAUUUUACUCGUUACCAUCGAAUGUUUAAAGCGAUAGUGCUAUCAACGAAAUAACUACGUGCUGCAUAAGGAAUUGCAGCUACCGCGGUCACAGUUACUACGGUCGUUCCAUAUUCGUGCAAACUAAACUCCAAAAAGAGUUUUUUUCGCGAUCUGUAACGGUAGCUCAAAACCCUGCGCUAUCGUUAUUCCCUUUUUAACCUCUUAUUAGCUUCGAGUUUCUACAUAAGUUACACGGAGCAAAGUAUGUGUACGUUCAUCCAGACACCUACACACAUACACGCUGCCUUGGUAGAUCAAAUUCUGGCUUGAAUGCUGUCCUGGUUCCCAUCCCUUGUUUCCACUUGCAUGCAUCUUUUGAUGCUGAUGUUUGUUGUCAUCUGUUAUUUGGGAUUUAUGUCUGCUUUACUUUCCCUUCACUUUUGGUAGCCUGACUUUUAGUUCUUUUCUUACGGUCUUUUACAACGCUGGCCUAUCGUUUUUCUCCCAUCAUCUUCCCAUAUCCUCCUUUUCCUUGUCUCUUUUCCGCGCAUCUGUCUCCUUUUAAAAUUGCUGCUCUGUCUUUUUUUUCUUCUUGGGAGCCUUUUGUAGACUUUCUCAUUUGUAUGUGUUAGUGAUUUGUAAUACUUCAAUGUCUUCACACAGUCUUCUUUCAGUCGCAGAUUGAACAGAUGCGUAAUAAAAAUAGACACAAGAAUUGAGAAGGAUAAGUGAAAUCAGCAAUCAUCCACUGGUGAUUAAAGGCAUGUUACAUUAACAUACACAAACAUAUAAGCGCAAGUGAAUUUUGUUUGAAAUGUUUCACUUAAUAAAUCAAGAACAGAUUAUUUUGCACCGUAAGGUAUCAACAUAGCGACUCGUAAAAACAAUAUCCUAGCUCAUCGAUUAACGACUAAAACUACGAACUACAAUCAAGAAUUAAGACAGAAUAAAAAUGAUAACCACCCAAAUAGCCAAAAUUGCUUAAGCAGCCAAUUUCGGCAAGCUAAAGAUCGCUGCUAGAAUUCGCCUUUUGCAGUAGAUAAACGAGUAGAUACAGGUGUCCCCCGAGAUACGACUGUAUUUGGGACCGAACAAAUUUCCCAAAGGAAGGCGUAAGUCGAAAUAGUCGUAUGUCGAAUAUCUGUGAAUAUAAAGUUUAUAACUGAAAUUGAAGAGUCGGAAUCUAUGAAAUCGUGUAUUUUAUUUAAAAUAAUGUACAAUAAUGUAUUAGUUUCCUCCAAAAGCCGUUUACACAAUAUAGAUAUUCAAGACCGGGGAGUUGCAGAAUCUGUGGAAAUGUAUUUGUAACGAUUAUCAGCAAAGAAAUUAAAAAAAAAAAUACAUCAAUUUCGUCUCAAUGACAACUUCUAAAUGUCAAAAUCAAAAUCGUCGUAUCUGCGAAUCGUCGUAACUCGAGGGGGUCGUAACUCGGGGGACGCCUGUAAUAUUAAAAUAGCCAGCUCGAACUCCAUAGUUGAUGUGGGGCUGUUUACCGAAAAAUCGUUCCGAUGUCGUACUUUGUGGGUGAUUAAGAGAUGAAACGGUACUCUUUGGAACCUCGCGGCUGUUUAGCCUGAUGAGUAUGGUUCAUGAUGGAACUUGAAGGCUUGUUAAGAAAGCGUACCGAACUUGGGGGAACUUUAUAGAUUUUUAAUGCAUGGCAUCGGUACAAGGUGGCUCUUGUCAAAAUGUCAAAGCCACACACCGUCUCGUGGUUUGUGCUCCAGUUAGAUUAGUUAUUUGAUACAAUAAUAUUAAGUGAAGUGGUUUUUUCUUAACUGUGAAUUCUUUAAAAUUCUGUAAACGUUAUGAACAUUUACAGUUCACAAAUAACUAC